rnacentral:rRNA from 1 species
UACGUAGGGUCCAAGCGUUAUCCGGAAUCACUGGGCGUAAAGCGUACGUAGGCGGGUUGUUAAGUGCAAUGCGAAAUCCUGUGGCUCAACCAUAUGGACUGUAUUGCAUACUGGCAACCUAGAGGAUAUGAGAGGCAAGUGGAAUUACCGGUGUAGCAGUGAAAUGCGUAGAUAUCGGUAGGAACACCAAUGGCGAAGGCAGCUGGCUAAACUAUAACUGACGCUGAUGCACGAAAGCGUGGGGAGCGAACAGG